GGGAAGGUGGCUCAGUGGUAGAGUGCUUGCCUUGCAUGCAGGAGGGUCUGGGUUCGAUUCCUCACCACCACA
rfam:Dipodomys ordii contig_69716, whole genome shotgun sequence.